UACGUAGGGUGCAAGCGUUAAUCGGAAUUACUGGGCGUAAAGCGUGCGCAGGCGGUUUUGUAAGACUGACGUGAAAUCCCCGGGCUCAACCUGGGAAUGGCGUUGGUGACUGCAAGGCUAGAGUUUGGCAGAGGGGGGUAGAAUUCCAUGUGUAGCAGUGAAAUGCGUAGAUAUGUGGAGGAACACCGAUGGCGAAGGCAGCCCCCUGGGUCAAAACUGACGCUCAUGCACGAAGGCGUGGGGAGCAAACAGG
rnacentral:rRNA from 1 species